rnacentral:lncRNA from 1 species
CACACCCUGUAUAAUGUCUGAGCAGGUUUUCUGCAUAGUUGCCAGUGCUUAUUUUUACAAUCUCUAACAUAACAGCUUCAAAUAUAAACACAAACAUAGCCAGCAUGAACGACAGCAUCUGCAUUGGCCACGGAGCUAAAACAGGCUCUUAGAAAUGUGCUUGACAUUUCCCGUGGCAGCUUCACAGCCUCCUUGGAAAGCCUUGGUCCACCUCUCUGCUGCUGACAAGCUCUGAUUUGGAUGAAGAAAAGGAGGCUCAGAGAGUUUAAGAAACUUACCCUCCUCACACCAUGGAUAACAGGCAGAGCCAAAAGCAAAUGCAGAUGAAGACGUUGAUGCUCAAAAGUCGCUAAUGAGAAGCUGAGCCAAGAGUCAGAUCCAAAGUCCUUCCAGCUCUGAAGCCUGCAUUGUUUCCAACGCAUGAUGUUGUCUGAAUGGUGAGCAAUGGAAGACAGAAGAUACUAACAUGGUAGAAAUUAUCCUGAGUGGGGAGAGAGAAGGCCCUGGGGUGCUGCGAGUGUCCUGGGCAGGCAGCAGGGAGCCCCUUUAGCCCUGACUAGCUUGGUUGCAUUUCUGAUGGGUUUGACAUCAACAGGCUCUGCUGAGUCCCAAUUUGGCUAGGUACCACCACUUGUAGCACAGGGCAGAUCACUCCAAUGCCUGCAGCAUUCAUUUCUCAAUUUUCAAAUAAAACUAGCUUUGUUUGAAGGACAAAGUGAGAUGAUUUUUGACAGCACUGGGUAGAUGCAAUAACACUUUGC